GGUGAGAUGGCUCAGUGGGUAAGGAGCACCCGACUGCUCUUCCGAAGGUCCAGAGUUCAAAUCCCAGUAACCA
rnacentral:tRNA from 1 species